UUUCACCUCUUUUGGACUCAUACCAGUUCAAAGCCACCUCGCCUUCUAGCCUAAAAGAUGCUAAAGUCACUGCACGAUGAUCCGUGCACCCCAUGGCCUCACACCUACGCCACACUGCAUCUAAAAACUGUUGUGGAUCCUCAAAGUUAUCUACACCCUUAAAGGUAGGAGGUGCCAACUUAAGGAACUCUGACAAUGGCACUUUCAUCCCAUUCACAGUAUGGGAAGUCGAAGAUG
rnacentral:lncRNA from 1 species